rnacentral:rRNA from 1 species
UACGUAGGGUGCAAGCGUUAAUCGGAAUUACUGGGCGUAAAGCGUGCGCAGGCGGUUGUGUAAGACAGAUGUGAAAUCCCCGGGCUCAACCUGGGAACUGCAUUUAUGACUGCACAGCUGGAGUGCGGCAGAGGGGGAUGGAAUUCCGCGUGUAGCAGUGAAAUGCGUAGAUAUGCGGAGGAACACCGAUGGCGAAGGCAAUCCCCUGGGCCUGCACUGACGCUCAUGCACGAAAGCGUGGGGAGCAAACAGG